GUGUCAGCAGCCGCGGUAAUACGAAGGGUGCAAGCGUUACUCGGAAUUACUGGGCGUAAAGCGUGCGUAGGUGGUUUGUUAAGUCUGAUGUGAAAGCCCUGGGCUCAACCUGGGAAUGGCAUUGGAUACUGGCAAUCUAGAGUGCGGUAGAGGGUAGCGGAAUUCCCGGUGUAGCAGUGAAAUGCGUAGAUAUCGGGAGGAACAUCCGUGGCGAAGGCGGCUACCUGGACCAGCACUGACACUGAGGCACGAAAGCGUGGGGAGCAAACAGGAUUAGAUACCCUGGUAGUCCACGCCCUAAACGAUGCGAACUGGAUGUUGGGGGCACUUAGGUCUUCAGUAUCGAAGCUAACGCGUUAAGUUCGCCGCCUGGGAAGUACGGUCGCAAGACUGAA
rnacentral:rRNA from 1 species